CCUACGGGAGGCAGCAGUGGGGAAUAUUGCGCAAUGGGCGAAAGCCUGACGCAGCGACGCCGCGUGAGGGAUGAAGGUCUUCGGAUCGUAAACCUCUGUCAGCAGGGAAGAACGGUCACUGUGCUAAUCAGCAGUGAAUUGACGGUACCUGCAAAGGAAGCACCGGCUAACUCCGUGCCAGCAGCCGCGGUAAUACGGAGGGUGCGAGCGUUAAUCGGAAUUACGGGGCGUAAAGCGCUCGUAGGCGGUAUGUCAAGUCAAGGGUGAAAUCCCCGGGCUCAACGUGGGAACUGCCUUUGAAACGGGUCAACUGGAGUGUGGGAGAGGAUAGUGGAAUUUCAGGUGUAGGAGUGAAAUCCGUAGAUAUCUUGAGGAACAUCAGUGGCGAAGGCGACUAUCUGGCACAUAACUGACGCUGAGGAGCGAAAGCGUGGGUAGCAAACAGGAUUAGAUACCCUGGUAGUC
rnacentral:rRNA from 1 species